CAUGAAGCCGGAAUCGCUAGUAAUCGCGGAUCAGAAUGCCGCGGUGAAUACGUUCCCGGGUCUUGUACACACCGCCCGUCACACCAUGGGAGUCGGAAAUGCCCGAAGUCUGUGACCCAACCGCAAGGAGGGAGCAGCCGAAGGCAGGUCGGAUGACUGGGGUGAAGUCGUAACAAGGUAAC
rnacentral:rRNA from 1 species